rnacentral:rRNA from 1 species
GACGAACGCUGGCGGCGUGCUUAACACAUGCAAGUCGAGCGGUAAGGCCCUUUCGGGGGUACACGAGCGGCGAACGGGUGAGUAACACGUGGGUGACCUGCCCUCAGCUCUGGGAUAAGCCUGGGAAACCGGGUCUAAUACCGGAUAUGACUCCAUGACGCAUGUUGUGGGGUGGAAAGCCUUGUGCGGCUGAGGAUGGGCCCGCGGCCUAUCAGCUUGUUGGUGGGGUGAGGCCUACCAAGGCGACGACGGGUAGCCGGCCUGAGAGGGCGACCGGCCACACUGGGACUGAGACACGGCCCAGACUCCUACGGGAGGCAGCAGUGGGGAAUCUUGCGCAAUGGGCGAAAGCCUGAUCCAGCAAUGCCGCGUGAGUGAUGAAGGCCUUAGGGUU